GAUGAAGAACGUAGCGAAAUGCGAUAAGUAAUGUGAAUUGCAGAAUUCAGUGAAUCAUCGAAUCUUUGAACGCACCUUGCGCCCUUUGGCCAUUCCGAAGGGCAUGCCUGUUUGAGUAUCAUGAACACCUCAACUCUUUAUGGUUUUCCAUGAUGAGCUUGGACUCUGGGGGUUUUGCUGGCUCACAGUCGGCUCCUCUAAAAUGAAUCAGCUUACCAGUGUUUGGUGGGUAUCAUGGGUGUGAUAACUAUCUACGCUUGUGGUUUUUCCACCAGGUAACCUUCAGCAGUGGAGGUUCGCUGGAGCUCAUAGAUGUCUCUCCUCAGUGAGGACAGCCCUUUGAAUGUUUGAUCUCAAAUCAGGUAGGACUACCCGCUGAACUUAAGGAUAUCAAUAAGCGGAGGA
rnacentral:misc_RNA from 1 species